rnacentral:rRNA from 1 species
UAACACGUGGGUAACCUGCCUUAUAGUGGGGGAGUAGCCUUUCGAAAGGAAGAUUAAUACCGCAUAAGAUUGUAGUAUCGCAUGAUAUAGCAAUUAAAGGAGCAAUUCGCUAUAAGAUGGACCCGCGUCGCAUUAGCUAGUAGGUGGGGUAACGGCUCACCUAGGCGACGAUCCCUAGCUGGUCUGAGAGGAUGACCAGCCACACUGGAACUGAGACACGGUCCAGACUCCUACGGGAGGCAGCAUG